AUCUUUGGACUUCCAACAGAGAGACUUCGAGAACGUGUUCUUCAGGAAUGAAAUCUGACCCGUUUCCGAAACCUGACUCGAUUUCGUCGGAACGAGACGACUGGGCAGCUGUGAACCCCAUAGACAGUAAUAUCAUUGCGCAGACUCCAACUCAGGGAGGCGGAACGCUCUGCGUCACGGCUGCGUGAUGACGUGUGCACCACGCCCCGCCCACAGUACGGCCGCCAUCACGUGGCCAGCAGGUAAAUCCGCUCCACCCUUUGUGUACGCGGUGUAAGAGCGCUGCAGUAGCGUGCUGUCGCAGUGUAAUUACUGAGAAAUGUGCAUGCAUUGUUCUGCCAACGGAUGCAUGUGUGUUUUGGGAGACUUUUGCAGGUUGCUGAUCCUCCUCGGUGGAUCUCAGCUGUCUGUGCAACACACCCAGAGCCUUGGGACAAAGCCGCAUGGCUGCCUUCUCAUCACUGCUGGGUAACUGUGGUAAAUGUUUGAAUGUAAAUCUACACAAGUGCACUCAGAACUACAACUCUUGUGAUAUGAUAUACUUUUGUGAGAACUUUUGUAAAUAUAGAUUGUAUUAAAAUUUAAUUAAGUUACAUCUGACUUUCAUGUUUUGUUUAUUAAACAUUGUGUAUAUAUACACUGCAUUCCGAUAUAUGAUUAUUUACCAAUAUCAACCAAAUCCUUGCAAAUACACUACAUAAGCUGAUAUCUUCAAGGAAGCUUAAGUUUUAUGAAGUUGGCACAAGAAGGCUUCACACUGUAUGAACUCCUGGAUUUUAUAGAACAAGAAUACAUAUAGAUCAGUGGUUUUCAGCUGGGUACCGCAAGAUGACUUUAAUAAUAAAAUGACAAAGAUAUAGAAUGUGCUAUUAGAUAUUUCUUUUACUGUUUGUCUACAGUUUUUACACAUGUACUUUUGAGGUCACAAUUAGUUUAAAAAUGAGAUGGUUUUUUUAGAAGUAUUGUUUUAGUUUUGCACAAUUUGGGCCCAUGGAGUUUGAGGACUGCUGCUGAAGAACAAUGGAGAAGAACUUGGUUAACUUGUUCAGAUUACAGUGCAUGGCAUUUGUUUGUGAGGGGCAUGAAGCAAUGGAGGAGACCCGGGCAGGACAAACCUCUCAAAUUACAUAGACGACGAGGACACACCUCUUUGUCAAUGGAAGGAAUGAAGGAACCCACACAAGACAAGAUGUUGUGAGAACAUGGAAAAAUAUGUGUGAAUCAGCUGUUUGGUGCUGGAUGAACUAACCAGCUUUCCACCCUCAGACAAAGCACGACUUCUUUACAAGAAGAUAAAGGAACUGGUUGGGGCUGGAUAGGGAAAGUAAAUAUUAAAAUUAAUCAGUUUAAAUAUUGCUUAAAUAAUGCUUGGUAUUCAUAAAGUAUGCAUGUCUAUAGACAGAGAAAACAGCACUUUGACCUUCACAGAGACAGGUGCCUGUGGCGUUGUGGUUGGACACACCCACGGAGUGGACUCUGUUCGGCCGAGAGAAAAGGUCACAGAAAUGUCAUGCAGUCAUGUCCUUGAGACGAGGUGGAAG